rnacentral:rRNA from 1 species
CAGCCUGAUGAGCCAUGCCGCGUGUGUGAAGAAGGCCUUCGGGUUGUAAAGCACUUUCAGUCGUGAGGAAGGUGGUGUAGUUAAUAGCUGCAUUAUUUGACGUUAGCGACAGAAGAAGCACCGGCUAACUCCGUGCCAGCAGCCGCGGUAAUACGGAGGGUGCGAGCGUUAAUCGGAAUUACUGGGCGUAAAGCGCAUGCAGGUGGUUUGUUAAGUCAGAUGUGAAAGCCCGGGGCUCAACCUCGGAAUUGCAUUUGAAACUGGCAGACUAGAGUACUGUAGAGGGGGGUAGAAUUUCAGGUGUAGCGGUGAAAUGCGUAGAGAUCUGAAGGAAUACCGGUGGCGAAGGCGGCCCCCUGGACAGAUACUGACACUCAGAUGCGAAAGCGUGGGGAGCAAACAGGAUUAGAUACCCUGGUAGUCCACGCCGUAAACGAUGUCUACUUGGAGGUUGUGGCCUUGAGCCGUGGCUUUCGGAGCUAACGCGUUAAGUAGACCGCCUGGGGAGUACGGUCGCAAGAUUAAAACUCAAAUGAAUUGACGGGGGCCCGCACAAGCGGUGGAGCAUGUGGUUUAAUUCGAUGCAACGCGAAGAACCUUACCUACUCUUGACAUCCAGAGAACUUUCCAGAGAUGGAUUGGUGCCUUCGGGAACUCUGAGACAGGUGCUGCAUGGCUGUCGUCAGCUCGUGUUGUGAAAUGUUGGGUUAAGUCCCGCAACGAGCGCAACCCUUAUCCUUGUUUGCCAGCGAGUAAUGUCGGGAACUCCAGGGAGACUGCCGGUGAUAAACCGGAGGAAGGUGGGGACGACGUCAAGUCAUCAUGGCCCUUACGAGUAGGGCUACACACGUGCUACAAUGGCGCAUACAGAGGGCGGCCAACUUGCGAAAGUGAGCGAAUCCCAAAAAGUGCGUCGUAGUCCGGAUUGGAGUCUGCAACUCGACUCCAUGAAGUCGGAAUCGCUAGUAAUCGUGGAUCAGAAUGCCACGGUGAAUACGUUCCCGGGCCUUGUACACACCGCCCGUCACACCAUGGGAGUGGGCUGCAAAAGAAGUAGGUAGUUUAACCUUCGGGGGGACGCUUACCACUUUGUGGUUCAUGACUGGGUGAUCG